GAUGAACGCUGGCGGCGUGCCUAAUACAUGCAAGUCGAGCGAACAGACGAGGAGCUUGCUCCUCUGACGUUAGCGGCGGACGGGUGAGUAACACGUGGAUAACCUCCCUAUAAGAAUGGGAUAACUUCGGGAAACCGGAGCUAAUACCGGAUAAUAUAUUGAACCGCAUGGUUCAAUAGUGAAAGACGGUUUUGCUGUCACUUAUAGAUGGAUCCGCGCCGCAUUAGCUAGUUGGUAAGGUAACGGCUUACCAAGGCAACGAUGCGUAGCCGACCUGAGAGGGUGAUCGGCCACACUGGAACUGAGACACGGUCCAGACUCCUACGGGAGGCAGGAGUAGGGAAUCUUCCGCAAUGGGCGAAAGCCUGACGGAGCAACGCCGCGUGGGUGAUGAAGGUCUUCGGAUCGUAAAACUCUGUUAUUAGGGAAGAACAAAUGUGUAAGUAACUAUGCACGUCUUGACGGUACCUAAGCAGAAAGCCACGGCUAACUACGUG
rnacentral:rRNA from 1 species